CUCGCUUCUGCCCGCAGCGACCGGUUCCCACGAGCCCCGCGGAGGUUUUGAGUCUGGAGGCGGGAGUGGGUUGCGCUCGCGUUCCGGCUGCCGCGACCCAGCUGGAGUUUCAGGAUGCUCUACACCCAGGACUUUUUGAAGCUGACUUCUUCUCAACAGUGACGGUCAUGAAAAUGUGACCAUCACUGCAUUAGCAGAAAAGUGAGAAAACGCUGGUGAACAAUCCUGAAAAAAUCCCUGUUGUGGUGGAACUUACCUUCUAGUGAAAAGAUAGGACUAGCCUCCUGUGAAGGAAACUGACAGUACCCCUGGAGCAAUAACAACUGCCCAGAUGGAGAGCUCCAGCAGCCCGGACCAUCCAGACCAGUUUGAGCUUAAAAUCCUGACUCACACCUGUGCAGAGGGACCAUGGAGUGACCGACCCAUGGAGUGACUGACACUACACUUACCUCAUCAUAAUACUAAAAUCCCCACCCAUGGAGGAGCACAAGCCUCAUUUACAUGAUGACUACAUACAAUGUACUUAUAGGCGUGUGUCCUUAAGGUGCAAACUUUUUGACCUUAUGCCUGCCUCUACAUACAAUGACAAGGCUCUUCUUUCUAAAUAUUCAUCUUAACCCUAAAUAAAAGGAGCCCAUUCACCCUUGCUUGGGGAGUCAUGGCUUUGGAAGUUAUUCUGCAUGAUCUACUUAUUUGCUGCAAAUAAAGUUUCUGUUGUGUGAUAGCUCCUCUUGGUUUAGUUUGCAUCUGUGACACAAGGAGCAAACUCUCAUUAGUUCAGUUACAAUGUGUACUGAACCUGUGAGUUGGUGAGAACCUCCUCCAUUUAGCCCAGGGAAAACAUUUGCCCAAAGUGCAGCCAGUCUUAAGAUUACCCACUAUCUUCAAACUUUAAAAAUUUGUCUCAGUUUCUUCUGCUUCCAGAGACAUUUUAGGGAUAUAGAACCAGGGAAUGUACAACAGACAAAUAGGUCUCAUCCAGGUAAAUUCUCUAAGUACUAUGCCAAUUGUCUGGUCGUGAAGACAUAAAACAAAUGAAAUGAUGUGAUUAAUAAUUUUAGCUAUAUUAAAUUUUAAUUUUCUUUUUAUCUAGAGCCUUAAAAACAAAGUAAUGAAUUUAAAGGAGGGAGAAAGUGUUUGCAAGGCAUAGAAAAAAGGAUUAAAAUCUAUAAUAAAGAACUCUUACAGAGAAUAUGACAACCCAAACAAAAACGAGCAAAGAUAUAAACAGGUACAUCACAGAGAAAGAAAACCCAAUAGCAAAAACAUGAAAAGAAGUGCUGCCACUACAAAUUAAGAAAUGCAACUGGUGUGACCACUGUGGAAAACAGCAUGGGGUUUCCUCAAAAAAUUAAAAAUAGAAAUACUAUACAAUCCAGUAAUUCCAAUAGUA